rnacentral:rRNA from 1 species
CCUACGGGUGGCAGCAGUGAGGAAUAUUGGUCAAUGGGCUUACGCCUGAACCAGCCAAGUCGCGUGAGGGAAGACUGCCCUAUGGGUUGUAAACCUCUUUUUUCAGGGAGCAACGCCUGCCACGUGUAGCCGGACUGAGAGUACCUGAAGAAAAAGCAUCGGCUAACUCCGUGCCAGCAGCCGCGGUAAUACGGGGGAUGCAAGCGUUAUCCGGAUUUAUUGGGUUUAAAGGGUGCGUAGGCGGAAUGCCAAGUCAGCGGUAAAAUGGCUGGGCUAAACCUCGCUCUGCCGGUGAAACUGGCGUUCUUGAGUGGGCGAGAGGUAUGCGGAAUGCGUGGUGUAGCGGUGAAAUGCAUAGAUAUCACGAAGAACUCCGAUUGCGAAGGCAGCAUACCGGAGCCCAACUGACGCUGAGGCACGAAAGCGUGGGUAUCGAACAGGAUUAGAUACCCCAGUAGUC